rnacentral:rRNA from 3 species
GGUUAAGUUACAAAGGGCUAACGGUGG